AACGGCCGCGGUAUUCUGACCGUGCAAAGGUAGCAUAAUCAUUAGUCUUUUAAUAGAGGGCUGGAAUGAAGGGUUUGACGAGGUGUUGACUGUCUCAUUUAAUUUGAAUUUAGAAUUUAACUUUUUAGUCAAAAGGCUGAAAUAAUAUUGGAAGACGAGAAGACCCUAUAGAGCUUUAUAGUAUUUUUAUUAAUAAAUUUUAGUAAAUGGUUAUUUAUUAUUAUAAUCUAUUAUUUUGUUGGGGUGACAAAAAUAUAUAAUAAACUUUUUUAUUUAUUUAACAUUGAUUUAUGAUUAUUAGAUCCAAUUUUAUUGAUUAUUAGAACAAGUUACCUUAGGGAUAACAGCGUAAUCUUCUUUCAGAGUUCAUAUUUACAAGAAGGCUUGCGACCUCGAUGUUGGAUUAAGAUGAUAAUUAGGUGUAGCUGCUUAAUGUAUAGGUCUGUUCGAC
rnacentral:rRNA from 1 species